rnacentral:rRNA from 1 species
AGAGUUUGAUCAUGGCUCAGAUUGAACGCUGGCGGCAUGCCUUACACAUGCAAGUCGAACGGCAGCGCGGGAGCAAUCCUGGCGGCGAGUGGCGAACGGGUGAGUAAUAUAUCGGAACGUGCCCUGUAGCGGGGGAUAACCUAUCGAAAGAUGGACUAAUACCGCAUACGCUCUACGGAGGAAAGCGGGGGUCGCAAGACCUCGCACUAUAGGAGCGGCCGAUAUCGGAUUAGCUAGUUGGCGGGGUAAAAGCCCACCAAGGCGACGAUCCGUAGCUGGUCUGAGAGGAUGAUCAGCCACACUGGAACUGAGACACGGUCCAGACUCCUACGGGAGGCAGCAGUGGGGAAUUUUGGACAAUGGGCGCAAGCCUGAUCCCAGCCAUGCCGCGUGAGUGAAGAAGGCCUUCGGGUUGUAAAGCUCUUUCGGCAGGAACGAAAUGGUUCGUGCUAAUACCACGGACUGAUGACGGUACCUGAAGAAGAAGCACCGGCUAACUACGUGCCAGCAACCGCGGUAAUACGUAGGGUGCAGGCGUUAAUCGGAAUUACUGGGCGUAAAGCGUGCGCAGGCGGUUUCUUAAGUCAGAUGUGAAAGCCCCGGGCUUAACCUGGGAACUGCGUUUGAAACUGGGAGACUUGAGUGUGGCAGAGGGGGGUGGAAUUCCACGUAGCAGUGAAAUGCGUAGAUAUGUGGAGGAACACCGAUGGCGAAGGCAGCCCCCUGGGUUAACACUGACGCUCAUGCACGAAAGCGUGGGGAGCAAACAGGAUUAGAUACCCUAGUAGUCC